UCCGCGAUGCCGUUGCGCUGCAAUCUGACGGUGAUGCACAACGGCUCAGCUCCCUCGGAUCGGCUUCCGUGGGCACCCCAUCUCGGCGUCCUCGGCUCGGCUUUCCUCCGACGUCGAGUGAGCGCGAGCCUCCGCUCCACUUCUUCUCCAAUCGAAGCCUGGCGGCGGCGGAGGAGAAGUCCACCCCCUCACGCGACCCGUCCCCACUCCGUGCCUCCCUCCCUCUCGUCGAGGUGCAGCCGCCUCGACCAGCCAGCAGCGGCGAGGGGCUGUGACGCUUCCAUGCCGAAGAUGGCAUUCCAAUCGUCUUCGCGUGACUCCUUCACUGGUGCCGCAUACUACGCUGCCAUCGCAAUCAACGAUUCCCUCUCUCCUUUGCAACAUCUGGGGUAUACAAACUUCACCAAUCAAAGAAAUAAUGUGAUCAACGACAUUGCAAUCAGAUGUCAAACAGAUCACCCACAAACAGCUCCUCUAAUAUGAAGUAGAAGAUUUAAGACUUCUUUGCCCUCUGUCCAUGUGUUCAUAUGCCUAAGUUUCUGUUGAAAAUGUUGCAACCUCUGGCUGCUGAAGAUGGUAAAGCUCAAUUACAAAAUGGUGUGCAGUUUCUGUUGAAAAUGUUGCAAAAUCAAUGAUAGACAAAAGCAGCAAUGAAACCUCUUGGACCAGUCUAGAUGAUAUUGGUGAAGAUUUAUUUUUCUUGUGCCAGCAGCUGUGAAGAGUGUAGACAGUUGGAGUGUCUUUUGGGAUUUUGGGUUAACGGGAAUACAAGGUUGUACUACUAGAGAAGACUGAUGUGUAUGGAUGUUUUGAAAUCUGCAGCGGAAUGGAUGUCUUAAUAAUCUGAUUGUUGCCUGAAAUGUAUUGUGAACUAUUGACUUGGAUCCUUCCUAACGGCAGAGUGUAUAUAUCCAGUAAUGCAAUAGAA